rnacentral:misc_RNA from 1 species
GAUGAAGAACGCAGCGAAAUGCGAUAAGUAAUGUGAAUUGCAGAAUUCCGUGAAUCAUCGAAUCUUUGAACGCACAUUGCGCCCUCUGGUAUUCCGGGGGGCAUGCCUGUCCGAGCGUCAUUUGCAACCCUCAAGCCCGGCUUGUGUGAUGGGUGCCGUCCCCUACGGGACGCGCCCCGAAGGCAAUGGCGGCGUCGCGGUUAUCCGAUCAGCCAAAGUGUAUGGGGCAUUGUCACUCACUUUACGGCCCGGACCGGCGCCAGUCCGAAUCAAUCUUUUUUCUAAAGUUGACCUCGGAUCAGGUAGGGAUACCCGCUGAACUUAAGCAUAUCAAUAAGCGGAGGA